rnacentral:rRNA from 1 species
UACGAAGGGGGCUAGCGUUGCUCGGAAUCACUGGGCGUAAAGGGUGCGUAGGCGGGUCUUUAAGUCAGGGGUGAAAUCCUGGAGCUCAACUCCAGAACUGCCUUUGAUACUGAAGAUCUGAGUUCGGGAGAGGUGAGUGGAACUGCGAGUGUAGAGGUGAAAUUCGUAGAUAUUCGCAAGAACACCAGUGGCGAAGGCGGCUCACUGGCCCGAUACUGACGCUGAGGCGCGAAAGCUAGGGGAGCAAACGGG